AUACGGAGGGUGCAAGCGUUAUUCGGAAUCACUGGGCGUAAAGGACGCGUAGGCGGGUUGGCAAGUCAGAUGUGAAAUCCUACAGCUUAACUGUAGAACUGCAUUUGAAACUGCUAACCUAGAGUAUGUGAGAGGGAGAUGGAAUUAGUGGUGUAGGGGUAAAAUCCGUAGAUAUCACUAGGAAUACCGAAAGCGAAGGCGAUCUCCUGGAACAUAACUGACGCUAAGGCGUGAAAGCGUGGGGAGCAAACAGAAUUAGAAACCCUAGUAGUCC
rnacentral:rRNA from 1 species